rnacentral:rRNA from 1 species
AUUGAACGCUGGCGGGAUGCUUUACACAUGCAAGUCGAACGGUAGAGGGGGCAACCCCUCGAGAGUGGCGAACGGGUGAGUAAUAUAUCGGAACGUGCCCAGUCGUGGGGGAUAACGUAGCGAAAGUUACGCUAAUACCGCAUACGAUCUAAGGAUGAAAGCGGGGGAUCGCAAGACCUCGCGCGAUUGGAGCGGCCGAUAUCAGAAUAGGUAGUUGGUGGGGUAAAGGCUCACCAAGCCAACGAUCUGUAGCUGGUCUGAGAGGACGACCAGCCACACUGGAACUGAGACACGGUCCAGACUCCUACGGGAGGCAGCAGUGGGGAAUUUUGGACAAUGGACGCAAGUCUGAUCCAGCCAUUCCGCGUGCAGGAUGAAGGCCCUCGGGUUGUAAACUGCUUUUGUACGGAACGAAAAGGUCUCUCUUAAUACGGGGGGCUCAUGACGGUACCGUAAGAAUAAGCACCGGCUAACUACGUGCCAGCCGCCGCUGUAA